GUUUAUCGUAGUAACACUAACUGCAAAUCUGGUAUUUUCAGAAAUGUGGUAUAUUCAUAAUGCAUGUUAUAUAUAGUAAUGCAUGUAAAUGUAUUACAGGAGUAUCUGAAGCAUCUUUAUACUGUUGUUUCUUAUGAAGCUAUGUAAGUUUUUGCAUUUUUGUUGUACUAAAUGUGUUUAUACUUGUGAUUUAGACAAAUGGAAUAAUCUGUGAAGCAAAGACUACAACAACCUGCUAUUUAAUGGAAACAUUUGAAGAGCAAGGAGUGGAUGAAAGUUUUAUGCUUGCUGGAUGACAGUGGUUCUCAACUGUGGUCCUAGAGUAUCCCCAGCAAUACACAUUUUGGAUGACUUCCUUAUCUAACACCCUUUUCCGGCCUUGGAGUCUCUCGACUAACAAGCUGAUACUUCCCUGCUGAUGCCUUGCACCACAGCAGAGUUGGAGCAGAUAAAAAAGUUCCUGUCGGACCACAUGACUAGUAAGUAAAUCCUC